AUAAAAAAGCGACUCAUAGAAAAACAUCAAAAUAAUAUAAAACACUAACAAUGUUUGCCUAAAUAAAUGGUAAUCGCUCGAAAAUGAGUCUGUGGCCCAACCGUAUAUUGGAACCACUGGUGGAUACUAUAAUGUUAAAAUAUCUUUGAAACUCUUCACAAAAGGUUUUUCGAUUGUGCACAUUCUUUAAGGGUUUCACUCAAUUGAAGAAUCGCCUGGGCGUAAUAAAAUCGUUCCACUUUUUAAAUGUAGUAGUGGUGACCGAAAAAAAAAUUAGACGGUGUUAAUUAUUAUUAAUUAUAAUUAAAAAAAUUAAAACCAUAGACGGUGCAACAGGCCUUAAUGUUUCAAUUUCGAUAGUUGAAAAUAUUUUUAUAAUAUAAAUUAGUCGAUACCUGAUCAAAUUAACAAUAAUUAUUAUCAGAAUGUUUUAGGCAGACUAUUUGGAGGGGUUAAGCCCGUUAGCCCUCCCCUCUUUGAUAAUUAUUAAUAUUCUUUCACAAACUACAAAAUCCAUAAUAAAUUACCGAUUUUCACUACCAUGUUAUAUAAUUGUAUACCCAGCACCUACCUUAGCUAUAUCGUCUUAAUAAAAUAUGUAUUGUAGAUUUAAAAACAUUUCUGUCAAACUGAAAUAGUAUUGUUAUGUGAUCUAAUACACAAUAAAUAAUUGUUGCCAUGUUAUUUAAUGGACAAAUAACAAUAAAUAAAAAUAUUUUUGUUUUCUCGUAAAAAUUUACAAAAUUUACAAUUUUAAAAACGUUUGAAGUAAAAUAUUUUGCACUUACUACUGUUUCAUUUUCAUCAAAAUGUUCCGAACUGAUGUUGAUGAAGGCCCCAAGUUAUGGUUUAAUGAGAUAUUGGUUACAAAAACUAUAGCUGAAAGAGAAUUUCAAAAGCAUAAUUAUGAAAUAGCUGCCCAAUACUGCGAGAAAGUAUUGGCGGUGUCCGAGUAUGAUUUAAGCACUAGAAUCCUUCUAAGCAAAUGUCAACAGAACUUGUUUCAACCGAAAUUGGCCUACGAAAAUCAUGUGUUAGCAGAAGGUCAAUUUCCUAAUGAAUUAUCAGUCUUAGAGAACAGAGCAAGCAUAAUGCUAGACAAUGAAGAAUUUGAAGAAAGUCUAAUCACAUAUUUGAACGGAGUAAAAAGAAGGAUUCAGCCAUCAGAUUUUGUAUUGGGAGUUUUAAAGGUGUCAGAAAUAAUUAACGGCUCGACAAAUUUAAGAAAAGAAAAAUAUAGAAAACCUUGUUUGGGAAAUGCAGUUAUUAAGUUGGCAAAACUGGGGGGUUUGGAUAACGUAGCAGCCUUGCACUCGAUACUUUCUAAGACAAAACUUACAUGCAAAAAAAAAAAUCAAUCAUUUUAUCUUGGUCGUUUAGCACAAGACAGAAUAUACUUUGAUAAAGUGCUAAAAUCCGGUGGUCCUAAGCGACCAUUUUACGUGGCAGAAAAGAAAAUUUUAGGUAACAUGAAACGAGUAGUCGACACACUAGAUGUAGCGUAUGAACAAUUUUAUAAAAGAAAACCGAUUUUUGUCUAUAAAUGUGAUGAGCCUAAACUGAAAGGCGAUAGACUUUUAACUCAAAUAAAUAAUUCAAAACUUAUUAAAGACAUGGGACAUCUUACGAUUUGUAAAUACUUAAAUAUUAUCAUUCAACUGAUAAUAAACAACGAAAUCAAAGAAGCCAAAUUAAAAACAGAGCUUAUGAUAGAGUUUAUGGAGAAAAAAUCUUAUAAAUUUAACAGAAUUUUAAAUGCGAUUUACCAGAGCUUUGGAAUGGCGCAAUAUAUAUUAUUUCAAAACAUAAAUCGGUGGAGCAUAAAAGAUAAUCAUCAAAGAAUGCUAAUUUUUUUAGGAGCUGCUAAAAAUAACAUACCACUCCAGGAAUCUUUAUUUGGACCAUUAGAAAUAAAUCCAAAAAUAACUAUAAAUAAAUUAUGCGCUCGUUUUGAAAAAUCGGAUUCCAUUAUAGAAAAAAUGUACAUAUAUUAUGAAGAAGCUAAAUGUUACCUACAGUCUGAUGACCUUAAAAAAGCUCGAAAUAAAGCUACCAAAUGUUUACAAUUCGCUAAAGAAAUUAAUAAUAAUACAUGGACUGUGAAUGCCUUGAUUUUACUCGUAUCGAUUGAAUUUCAAUUAGACAAUAAACCUAAGUGUUGUACCAUAUUAUACAAGGCUCUUGCAAUCGCGAAAAAGCUCCAAGUGCCGGGAGUCAUAAUGUUUUUAGAUAAGGUAGCUAAAAUGAUUUUUGAAACAAAAGCUGUACAUACUUCAAGAAUCGAUAGAAAGAUAACUGAUGUAUUGAAUUUCAUGCCAGAUGUUUCAGCAAAAAUGAAUGCGAUGUACAAGCUUAAACGGUUAUCCACUAUGCCAAUAAAUCUGUAACUGUACUAUGGAAUCAAUAGAAGGUCUAUUACGAAGUUAGGCCCAAAUAAAACAGCAUACUUAGGAUUUAUUUAUAUUAGUCUGAAAAGGAUAUUUUAAUUAUGAAGGUUCGACAUGAAUUUGGGCUAUUUAUCUGACGGAAGAAUCAUUGGUUAUAACUGGGCUAGGAUGAUUAUAAAUUUUUGCGUAAAGAGUUUUUGAUCCUAACGUAUCAAGGAAAAUAUUGGAUUUGCAAUUCUAUAAACAUGGAAGCUGUCAAACUCAUUUUAUUUGAAUAUUUUUUCUUAUCAAAAAUAUGUAAACAUUUUCUGCAUCAUCAAAUGAGUAUUUAAAUAA